rnacentral:rRNA from 1 species
UACGUAGGGGGCAAGCGUUGUCCGGAUUUAUUGGGCGUAAAGAGCGUGUAGGCGGCCAGGUAGGUCCGUUGUGAAAACUCGAGGCUCAACCUCGAGACGCCGAUGGAAACCAUCUGGCUAGAGUCCGGAAGAGGAGAGUGGAAUUCCCAGUGUAGCGGUGAAAUGCGUAGAUAUUGGGAGGAACACCAGUGGCGAAGGCGGCUCGCUGGACCGGAACUGACGCUGAGGCGCGAAAGCGUGGGGAGCAAACAGG